rnacentral:tRNA from 1 species
AAAGAAACUAGUUAACUAAUAUAAUAUUGAUUUGUCAAUUCAAAGUAAUUUUUGUGUUUCUUU